rnacentral:rRNA from 1 species
GACGAACCGAGCGAACGUUAUUCGGAAUCACUGGGCUUAAAGGGCGCGUAGGCGGGCCGUCAAGUCGAGGGUGAAAGCCCCCAGCUCAACUGGGGAAGUGCCUCCGAUACUGGCGGCCUCGAGGGGGAUAGGGGCGUGCGGAACUUCCGGUGGAGCGGUGAAAUGCGUAGAUAUACGGAGGAACACCUGCGGCGAAGGCGGGUAGCUGGGCCAACACUGACGCUGAGACGCGAAAGCUAGGGGAGCAAACGGG